GAACAGUUAGUAAGAAUAUCCAAGCCAACUCAAUCGGAAUUCUGAAACGGAAUUCAAUUCGAAUCGUUUACGUAUGCGUUUCAAAUGCAACAACUGGAAUACGUAAACGAUUCAAAUGGAUUCCGUUUCAGAAUUUCGAUUGAGUUGAAUGGAAUUUAACGGAAUGUUUUGCUGAGAUGCAACCACCAGUUUUUGCUCGAGCCAGAUCGACACAAGGCUCGAGCCAAAGGGUUUUAAUGUAAACUUAUUUUCUAACCGAGGGGAGCGUCACCCCGCGAUAACACACUAAAACGCACAAUAAGGGGUCGAAAAUCAUCCACGCUACUAAUCGUGCAGAAUUUUCACUUAAAGCCACAAGAAAAUUAGGGACCAUUAAUAACCCACGUAGACACUUACCCUCUCCUCUCGUGGACAAUUUCCAUACAAAACAAAUCUAGACCCUCUACUGCCCCAUUUUUUUUCGACAAUUUUUAUUUUUCCCGUGUUUAGGAGGUCAUUUUGAGCAACUUUUGUUCUAUGAAAAACAUUACUUCUCUUGUUUUAUGUUUUUCUUGAUUCAUUUUUAGUAUUUUAAUUUGCAUUUAUCUUGUUUACCCAAGUAACCAUCCAGCAUUAAAAUAAAUCAUAUAUUGGCUGGUAAUCAGCAUUCAACAGCACAUCAGUCAUAAAAUAGCUAUACUCAGAGCAAAUCAGCUCUAAAAGAACUGCUCUAAAAGCAGCUGAGAUAGUGCUAAUUUAUUGCUGCUACUAGCAACACUGCUAGAAUUUUAUAUCUACAAACUGGCAACACGGGAUUGAGUUGCCCAAGAGUGAAUGAGAGAGCACUAUAAAACAGAAACAAAAGUAAUUCUUACUCUUUCAUCCAUUCAACAAAAACAAACCAGUGGUGAAGAAGAAUAGCAAAAAUCUGAGGAUUUAUUUUGUGCUUGGAAAACUAUAAGAACUGGUUUUGUACCUGUUCUUUUACCAAAUAGACCGUUCCGAAGGCAAACAGAUCCGCGGACAAAUCCGGUGCAAAAAUAUGUGGAAUGAAGUUUCCUUGCUCAUCCUGGAGCAUCCGCCUUGGUGUAACUGGUCCUCGGAGGAUAUGCAGACGAGCAGUGGCGAGGUUUUGGUCAUGUUUUGACUAAAAAAUCGAAAAGGUCGAACCGAGACUUUGUCGGAGACGAUGCCGGAUACCUUCAGCGUUGGACAUUGCGGAAGGAUUUAAAGUCUGGAAUGUCCAGUUCUGUGCUUCAAGACCAGCAGUAAUGGAGUGUUCGCUAGGUUGUAGGUCCAGGAGAAGUAUUGGCCGUAAAAAGUUAGUGUUGGAUGAUUCUAAAUAGGGCAUUAAUUAUCGAAUAAUAAAUUGAUUUGAGUUGUACAAAGUCUAUUUUUCUUCAACGGUGGAAGAUUUUUUUCAGGAACAUGAAAGAAAAAUGGAUUUAGACCAUGUUCGUGAUCGGGUGAAACAUUAUCUCGUGUUGUGCAAUCACGUAUGUGAAGCACUUCCCAAACAGGCGAGACGGAACGGGCUCAGGAACCAGCGAAAUCUACUGAAAACAACAUGAUCAAUAUCCCAAACAAUGUACCUCAGAACAAAAAAUCACAGUCAGUCAGCUGUGUCGGCAACGUAGCAUGUAAACAAUCCGAAAAUAGAAAUGGUUACAGGGGUGCUCAAAGUUUUUGAAGAGCGGGCCAGAUUUAAAGCUCAAAUGAGCUUGCGGGCCAAAUUUACAAAAUAGGUUAUUUGAAAAACUAAAUAUCGUUAUUUUAACUUAAAAGACUACAAAAAAAUCUAUAAGUUGUAAUUUUUUUAAUUUCUGUUUUUUUUAAAUAUUUUCUUUAGAUAAAAAUAAUAGAAAACACAAAACGGCAGUUUUCUAUAGCAAUUGGGUACUAAAGCCCUAUGUCAAUUUUUUGUACAACGGUAAAAAACACGAUUAAAAACCAUUUCUGAUCACUUUUUAUCAUUUUAAUGCAAACAUUUUUUUUUUGACAAGACAACAUUUUUUCGAUGGAUCAACUAUGGUCCCAUUGGAACGAGCUGUCAAGUAGGAGCUUUUCUGUCAAAAAGGACCGUGAGGUUAAUUUUUCAAAAUUGAUUUAAAAAUCCAUUUUAAACUCUUUGUGGUCGUACAAAGGGUCAUUGUACCCAGAAAAAUAAGCUUUAUCGCUGUAAACAAUAAUAUCAGCAAUCUAAGCUUCAUUUUAGAACCCAAUUGUAGAUUUUAUUGAAAAUCUUUUAGAGCCAAAUUUCAAUACUUCAAUGAAAAAAAAGUUACAAAAUGAACCCGUAAAGUUGAACUGCAAUCAUUAUUUUCAAAAAAAUUAAGAUUCGACAAAAAAAAACCAUUUCAGAGAAAAAACAUUUAUUCAUCGAAAAUUCACUAAAAACCAAAUCAAUUUCAAUAAACUUGUAAUUGAUAUCGGCUGUGUGCACUUAAAUUUCCAUUUAUUUUUUUAAGUUUUUAGAAAAAUAUUUGUGCUCCUGAUUUUUCGAUCCAAUUUUCAAUAAUGGGGGAGGGGAGGGUUGGUCGACAAAAGCUAUAAAUAUUUCUAAAAAUAUUGACGAUGUUGAAUAGUUUCACUCACAUCACAUUGGAACGUGUGAAAUUGUGUGAUUUUUGAACAAAAUAUUUGUGUCCUAUAAUGGGGAUCAAAAUAUUGAUAAAUCACUAGUUUUUUAUUAACAAAAAAUUAAAAUAAAAAAGAUGAGCAUAAAAAAGUUAUAAAUAAACCUUAGUUUUGAAAAAGUAUAAAAUCACAUAACAAGUGAUCAACGGGUCUUUUUACAUUAUCAUUCAAAAUGGGUCCGCGGGCCACAAAAAAUCACCUCGCGGGCCACGUUUGGCCCGCGGGCCUUACUUUGGUCACCCCUAGGCAGAUACGCAUCGAGCUCUACAGGCUCAAUAAAAACUCCUUACCUGCUCUGUAUGGUAGAACAGAGCUAAGCUCUGUAUGCAGCGAACAGAGCCAGCUCUGUAUGGGGAAAAAUAAUAUUGAUUUGAAUAUAUCUCAAAAACGAUAAGUUUUACAAAAUUGACAUGUUCUAGAAAGUUGCUGGUACCAAACGGUUCUAUAUUAUUGUCUCAGACGUCAUUACAAUUUGAUUGAUUUUAGUUGUGCAAAACAAGAGAAAACUAUUUAUUUUCUAAGAUACAAGGUAUAGAAUAUUUUUGUUUUCGACAAAGUUGCUCAACUACCAAAAAUGAACAACUCUCUCGAAGACACCAAAGCUCUAUCUUCAAUAGAUACCGAAAUAAAAAAUAAAAACUAUUUUUAUAAUAAAUACUGUUUGCGACAAACACAAAGCGACCGCGUCGUAGGCACAGGUAAUAUGAGGCAUGUUUGGUAGAGAUCGUCUGAAGUGAAAACUAGUAUAGCAGAGUGUUCAUAGAGAGUUUUUAUGUUAAAUGCUCUCGUCUGGAUGGUUGAAAGAAAUUUCAGAUAAAAUUAUACAAAUUUAUAAAAUUAUAUUCUUUUUAUUGUACUGGUAAGUAAUUAAGAUUAGAAACAACAAAAUUAUUGCACAGCUAUUUUUAUGUUUGUCUUGACAAAACAAAUGUUUAACAAAAUUACAAGUUUUGUACAACAAAUUAAGAUAAAAAACAAUUUCAAAUACGCAAGUAACCACAAACAUUAAAUCAAAACCCUAAAUUCACUCUAACUAAGCAUUUCCGAUGCUACGUCACUUUAUAUAAGCUUUGUAGAUGCUUCAAAACAUUUAUAGCUUGAAACAUUAUUGCUUACUGUAUUUAAUCAUAUAGAAUAGUCAAUUAGAGCUUUGAAGCAUUAAUUAUAAAAUGUUUCAAAGCUUUAUAGGAAAGCUUUUUAUCUCGCUAUAGAGUAAUUCUUUAAUGUGCCACGACUCUAAAUCAACAUCUAGAAAUGCUUCGAAACUUUGACAUUUCUUUAAAUGUUUCAAACCAUUAAAUCAACAUUAGUAAAAGCAAUUAAAGUUUUGCGGAUGCAUUGCAAAACGUAAAUAACUUCAAACGAAAAGUUUAUUCUGCAGCAAAUACUAGUGCAAAUAAUCGGUGGAAGAAAAACUCCGGCAUCUUUGUACGAACAUCUUCAGCAACAGACAAGGAUUGUUGCUACCGUGGCUUGUCAAUCGAGAAUUAUCCCGUAACCAGGUUUGUUUCAAAUGUUUCAAACCAUUAAAUCAACAUUAGUAAAAGCAAUUAAAGUUUUGCGGAUGCAUUGCAAAACGUAAAUAACUUCAAACGAAAAGUUUAUUCUGCAGCAAAUACUAGUGCAAAUAAUCGGUGUGAAGAAAAACUCCGGCAUCUUUGUACGAACAUCUUCAGCAACAGACAAGGAUUGUUGCUGCCGUGGCUUGUCAAUCGAGAAUUAUCCCGUAACCAGGUUUUCUCCCCCAGCUGAGGCAUGCAGAAGUGAUAUUUCAGUAUUUAGUCGGUGUAAGUGUUCGUUCCAGUCUUGAUAUUUCAAUUAAAGUGAUUACAGAAAAAUGUUGGCAAAUCAUUGCACCCGUUUUUUACUUCAUGUACUUGAAUGACACAAGAAAGACUCCUUCGACAAUUAUCUUCUCUAGAAAGCAUAUUUUCAGACAGAGGAAAUGGAUGGCGCGCAUGAUUUCAGCUGGGACUAUCAAUUAAAUGGCACUUGGAUUCUCCAAACUGAUGUAAUGUAUCAAAAAAGAUGGAAGGGAAAAGCUUUCCAAAGAAAAACGUGAAAGAGGGAGAGAGAGAGAGGGCUUGGUACUGGGGAAAGCUUUUUGCUGUCAGUGCCGAAGUGUCGGUAAAGUAGUUUUGUUUUUGUUUUUCUGGAGCAAAACUCUAUAUCAACAUUUUCAAAGUUACUGUAUAUCAACUGUUAACGUCGCCACUUUUAGCUUUAAUCUCACUCUACAAGAGAAUAUAGAGUUGUGUGACAUUAAAAAGCUUACUUUAUAUUUUGAUAUAGAGUUGAAUUACAGUUAUUUUUUAGUGUCCCGUGGUUACUUGGGAUAACUAAAAUGAUAACGUUUUUCAACAUUGGUAAAAUUGACCAUCAAAUUAUCAACUAUUACGGGAACAACAUCUAAUUCCUCUAAUGUUGCCAUUUCCAGUGGCGUACUAAGGGGGGGGGGGGGAAGCGGUGUUGGCCCGCCCCGGGUGUCACCCAUCUUGGGGUGACACCCGAGCUGAUGACACCCGAGCUGAUGGGGUGACACCUGACUCGGACGGAGAAAAAAAUAUAAUUGACCUAAACUAUGUUGAUAAAAAAAAUCAUCAAGUAUCUAACUAAUAUAAACAAAACAUACAAGUUAAAUUUUCUGAAACAUUCAUUUUAGAUGGGGGUGACACCCAAAAGUAACACUCAUGUUUUAGAAUAUGUUUACAUAGUAUACUUAUAAUGAUGAAGUUAAGUAUUCACAGUUAGUAAAAGUGCAUGUGUACAUGAAGACUGAAUACUUCAAAAAUUUAAUUUUCAGGGGUGACACCCGAUCAUCAAAUAAAGAAAUUUUGAUAAAGAUACUAAUAUGUAAGGGGUGUCACCCCUAUAUUAUUAAUGUACAAGCUUAUAAAAAGAGUUAAAUGGAAAAUGUUUUCUCAUAAAAAUGUUCUUGUGACAAACCACUCUUGAGUUUGAUUUUUUAAAAUUUUCUCGGAGUGUGGGUUUAUUUUUGUUUUCUUCGCAAUGUAUCAAUUGAAAGCAAAAAUAAUAAAAAAAAAACGCUUAGAAUUGAAAAAUUAAUAAAACAGCUGUUUGCUUUCAAAACUGGAAGCUCAAUUAAGUUUAAGGUUUGUUUCACCGAAUUUAAGAUUUUCGGAAAGUAAUCUAUUUUUCAGUUUUACAAAUAUGUAUGUACAGAAAUCCCUUUUGUAAAGAAACAUUUUAUUUACUACUCUUUUCAAUUUGAAUGAAUAUUGAAAAAUACAUUUAAUCAACAAAAUCUAAAAAAUAAAAAACAUCAGAGAAAUUUAUGUUUUGCAAAACAAUGCAUAUUAUGAUGUUUUUCGAAAUUCAGUGUCAAAAUGUAGAAAAAAAAAUCCAAAUAUUUUUUUCUAAAUCUAAACGAUCUGACUGGAAGAAACACGCUUUUUCAAUAAAUAAAUACUCCAGCUAAAUCUAUACUAGGCAAUAAUGAGAGAUACAAAACAAUCUUAACGUUACCAUUGUUUUGUAUUUUUGUGUUUAAAUAUAGUCUGAAGAUGACCGAAACGUAACGAAGAGUAAUUUUGUUUCAUUUCUCACCGAAAAACAACAACUAAUGCCAAAAAACAAAAAAAAACAUUGUUUUCUUUUUCAUUAUUGAAAAUUCUUAAAAAAUGUAUUUAAUUAGAUUCUUGUACCAAAUUUUAUCAUUUCAUAAUUAUUAAUAAAAGAUAAAAAGAUAAGGAAUAAAAAUUCAAAUUAUAUGAAAUCUAGAUUAAAUUUUCAAAACAACCUAUCCCUCAUGGGUUUCCUAUGCAGAUAGGGCCUUUUGAAAAUUUAAUCGAGAAAUAUAAUUGUAUCACUAGUUGUAUCAUCUUUUUUUUUGUUAUUCGGGUCGUAGAAUUUAACAUGAAAAUAAUAAUUUUGAUGGGAAAUUUAACGACAAUUUCAAAUAGGUACGAAAAAUCCGAAUUCGUUUCCUAAAUAACAGUAGUAGGAUUAAGUUUUUUGCCUUCCUCACCUUACUGAGGAAAGGCUAUAAAAUCACUCGAAAAAUUAACUUUUUAAUUAGACCUCCUAGACCUACCUUCAUUUGUACAUAUCGGCUCAGAAUCACGAGCUGAGCAAAUGUCUGUGUGUUUGGCUGUAUGUAGACAUGUGUACCAAAUCAAUGUCACUGGAAUAUCUUGUCACAGGCUCAACCGAUUUUGGCCGGAAUGAUUUUAAUCGAUCCGUCUUUACGUCGCAUACGUUGCUAUUGAAAACUAUACAAAUUAGAUAAGUACUUCAAAAGUUAUACUCAAAAAACGGUUUCAUACAAAUUUCAAAUCGUUCAAAAAAGGGUGGUUUUCGAAAGAAAAUCUGUGAUGUUAUAUAUCAAAAGAAAGCGUUUCAAAAUUCCUUUCGAAUGGCACAAGAAUUUUGAUGAUCCGGCAAUCCUAACUAAAGUUAUUAUCGUUUAAAAAAUAAUUACAUAACCUUUUAGUUCUAUGUCGCUUUUCGUGAAUGGUCACCGUGCAAGAAAAGCGUUGCCUCUUUUGCUUCAUAAGAACUCUGUAUUUACCUUGUGGGAAAGUCUGCAGUUAGUCUGUAUCUUUCAGUUUUGGCAUCCAAAUACAUUUUUGUAAUCGUUCAAAUCCAGAGUUUUUUUUUUGAAAAGGUCCUAUAACCUAUUGUCUUUUAUAUGUUUAUAGGACCUAAUCAAAAAAAUGUCGAGAAAUGCAAAGUCGGCCAUUAAAAAAAAUAAUUUCAUCUAAAAUAUUUGCCUGCAUUGAUAAAUGAUUAAAAUUAGCCAUAUUAAAUCUGUGUUGCAGUUCUUUAUAUUUACAUUUGUCCUAUAAGAAAUGUCUGUAUUUAUCUUUUUCCUCUAGAACUGGCAUUACUGUUCGAGAGCUUAUCGAAUGUCAAACGUACUGCUCUUCGCAUCAAUGUUGUUGUUUACGUUUUUACUGUACCGUUUAUUUAAUUUUGUGAAAAGUUCGUGUACGGCGGGUCUGCUUUUGGUCACUGGUGAACCGACCAGAAAGUUAGAAGAGCAUUUAUAUUGUCAACGACGUAACAGCGGGAACCAGUGACUUAUAAGAUGCAGAAUGAGGCCCUCAAGCUGGUGUCCGUGAAGGGCACUUUGCCGUGUCAAUACUUAGCUUGGGAAGGCUCCCAUUCCGAAAACGGUUCAUGUCGAGCACUUCGAACCACUUCUCAACGGAUCGUUUUGAUCGGUAGUGCCGAGAACCCUCUGGACAACCGCGAAGUAUUUUCAACUCUAUUACCAAUUUCUACGGUUAGCAAACCCUGCUAAAUUGACCGUACUCUACAUUGCAUCUACCACUUCGAGCAGUCAUAAUUGGUUCACGCUGGGUGAUGCUGAAACUCGAGUCUGUCUUGCGGGCUGUAACGCUAGUGCACUUCCAGCGUUCCAUUAACCAGAAGUUGGGGAGACGACGUUUCAUUUCAAUGAGCAGAUGCAAUCGAUGCUGAACGUUUGGUGGCACUUUAGCAUGGCGACUCAAAAGUUUCUUGAACCUAGAGAAGUGAUUGUGUGGUAUAACACUUUUGAAAGUUAAAGAAUUGCAUAUAAUUCAAGUUCUUUCUGAUGAAAAAAUAUAUUUAAAAAAAAACUGAAAACAGAUUUUUACUUUUAAAACAUCUUUUUUUUGUAAAACUGUUGAAGUUGCCACAAACAUUGGAAUGUUGUUAAAAAAUGAAUUAAAAAUUGCUGUUCAGGUAAAAAAAAAAAUUUGGUAAAAACAAC